GAUGAACGCUGGCGGCGUGCCUAAUACAUGCAAGUCGAGCGAACGGACGAGAAGCUUGCUUCUCUGAUGUUAGCGGCGGACGGGUGAGUAACACGUGGAUAACCUACCUAUAAGACUGGGAUCACUUCGGGAAACCGGAGCUAAUACCGGAUAAUAUUUUGAACCGCAUGGUUCAAAAGUGAAAGACGGUCUUGCUGUCACUUAUAGAUGGAUCCGCGCUGCAUUAGCUGGUUGGUAAGGUAACGGCUUACCAAGGCGACGUUGCAUAGCCGACCUGAGAGGGUGAUCGGCCACACUGGAACUGAGACACGGUCCAGACGCCUACGGGAGGGACCAGUACGGAAUCGGCCGCAAUGGGCGGAAGCCUGACGGAGCAACGCCGCGUGAGUGAUGAAGGUCUUCGGAUCGUAAAACUCUGUUAUUAGGGAAGAACAUAUGUGUAAGUAACUGUGCACAUCUUGACGGUACCUAAUCAGAAAGCCACGGCUAACUACGUG
rnacentral:rRNA from 1 species